rnacentral:lncRNA from 1 species
GUCCACAGGGUUUCAUACACAGAUACUACAGGUGUCAACUACUCAAUCAACGACUCAGCAUCAAUAGCAAGAUACUUCAUGGCACUUUGGUGCCCCAUCAAGAUGGGUCAAUGAUGGUAUUAUAUAAUGAGGAGGCAGGCACACUACAACACGUUAACCUUCCUCAGCGGCAAGCAUCGGCUUCUCAGCCGAUAGUUUAGCCGCAGCCUCAGCAACAAGCAUCGGCUACCCAGCCGAUAGUUUUG